CUGGCGGCGUGCCUAAUACAUGCAAGUCGAACGCUUCUUUUUCCACCGGAGCUUGCUCCACCGGAAAAAGAAGAGUGGCGAACGGGUGAGUAACACGUGGGUAACCUGCCCAUCAGAAGGGGAUAACACUUGGAAACAGGUGCUAAUACCGUAUAACAAUCAAAACCGCAUGGUUUUGAUUUGAAAGGCGCUUUCGGGUGUCGCUGAUGGAUGGACCCGCGGUGCAUUAGCUAGUUGGUGAGGUAACGGCUCACCAAGGCCACGAUGCAUAGCCGACCUGAGAGGGUGAUCGGCCACAUUGGGACUGAGACACGGCCCAAACUCCUACGGGAGGCAGCAGUAGGGAAUCUUCGGCAAUGGACGAAAGUCUGACCGAGCAACGCCGCGUGAGUGAAGAAGGUUUUCGGAUCGUAAAACUCUGUUGUUAGAGAAGAACAAGGAUGAGAGUAACUGUUCAUCCCUUGACGGUAUCUAACCAGAAAGCCACGGCUAACUACGUGCCAGCAGCCGCGGUAAUACGUAGGUGGCAAGCGUUGUCCGGAUUUAUUGGGCGUAAAGCGAGCGCAGGCGGUUUCUUAAGUCUGAUGUGAAAGCCCCCGGCUCAACCGGGGAGGGUCAUUGGAAACUGGGAGACUUGAGUGCAGAAGAGGAGAGUGGAAUUCCAUGUGUAGCGGUGAAAUGCGUAGAUAUAUGGAGGAACACCAGUGGCGAAGGCGGCUCUCUGGUCUGUAACUGACGCUGAGGCUCGAAAGCGUGGGGAGCAAACAGGAUUAGAUACCCUGGUAGUCCACGCCGUAAACGAUGAGUGCUAAGUGUUGGAGGGUUUCCGCCCUUCAGUGCUGCAGCUAACGCAUUAAGCACUCCGCCUGGGGGAGUACGACCGCAA
rnacentral:rRNA from 1 species